GUUUUUUGGGGCGCAAGCUUCAGAGACUAAGCGAAAGUGAUAAGUUAGCCACCUGGGGAGUACGAACGCAAGUUUGAAACUCAAAGGAAUUGACGGGGGCCCGCACAAGCGGUGGAUUAUGUGGUUUAAUUCGAUGAUACGCGAGGAACCUUACCAAGGCUUAAAUGGGAAAUGACAGGUUUAGAAAUAGACUUUUCUUCGGACAUUUUUCAAGGUGCUGCAUGGUUGUCGUCAGCUCGUGCCGUGAGGUGUUAGGUUAAGUCCUGCAACGAGCGCAACCCCGGAUACUAGCUGCCAUCAUUAAGUUGGGGACUCUAGUGAGACUGCCUACGCAAGUAGAGAGGAAGGUGGGGAUGACGUCAAAUCAUCACGGCCCUUACGCCUUGGGCCACACACGUAAUACAAUGGCCGGUACAGAGGGCAGCUACACAGCGAUGUGAUGCAAAUCUCGAAAGCCGGUCUCAGUUCGGAUUGGAGUCUGCAACUCGACUCUAUGAAGCUGGAAUCGCUAGUAAUCGCGCAUCAGCCAUGGCGCGGUGAAUACGUUCCCGGGCCUUGUACACACCGCCCGUCAAGCCAUGGAAGUCUGGGGUACCUGAAGUCGGUGACCGUAACAGGAGCUGCCUAGGGUAAAACAGGUAACUAGGGCUAAGUCGUAACAGGGUAGCCGA
rnacentral:rRNA from 1 species